rnacentral:rRNA from 1 species
CCUACGGGCUGCAGCAGUGGGGAAUAUUGGACAAUGGGCGAAAGCCUGAUCCAGCCAUGCCGCGUGUGUGAAGAAGGCCUUCGGGUUGUAAAGCACUUUCAGUGGGGAAGAAAGCCUUGGGGCUAAUACCCUCGAGGAAGGACAUCACCCACAGAAGAAGCACCGGCUAACUCCGUGCCAGCAGCCGCGGUAAUACGGAGGGUGCGAGCGUUAAUCGGAAUUACUGGGCGUAAAGCGCGCGUAGGCGGUCUGAUAAGCCGGUUGUGAAAGCCCCGGGCUCAACCUGGGAACGGCAUCCGGAACUGUCAGGCUAGAGUGCAGGAGAGGAAGGUAGAAUUCCCGGGGUAGCGGUGAAAUGCGUAGAGAUCGGGAGGAAUACCAGUGGCGAAGGCGGCCUUCUGGACUGACACUGACGCUGAGGUGCGAAAGCGUGGGUAGCAAACAGGAUUAGAUACCCUUGUAGUC